rnacentral:rRNA from 1 species
GACGAACGCUGGCGGCGUGCUUAACACAUGCAAGUCGUGCGGAAAGGCCUCCUUUGGGGGGUGCUCGAGCGGCGAACGGGUGAGUAACACGUGAGUAAUCUGCCCUGCACUUUCGGAUAACUGUCGGAAACGGUGGCUAAUACGGGAUAGGACUACUCCUCGCAUGGGGGGUGGUGGAAAGCCCUUUGGGGUGGUGUGGGAUGUGCUCGCGGCCUAUCAGCUUGAUGGUGGGGUAGUGGCCUACCAUGGCUUUGACGGGUAGCCGGCCUGAGAGGGUGUCCGGCCACACUGGGACUGAGAUACGGCCCAGACUCCUACGGGAGGCAGCAGUGGGGAAUAUUGCACAAUGGGCGCAAGCCUGAUGCAGCGACGCCGCGUGAGGGAUGACGG